rnacentral:SRP_RNA from 1 species
GCCAGGCGUGGUGAUGCAUGCCUGUAGUCCCAGCUACUCAGGAGGCUGAGGCAGGAGAAUUGCUUGAACCUGGGAGGCAGAGGUUGCAGUGAGCUGAGAUUGUGCCACUGCACUCCAGCCUGGGUGACAGAGCAAGACCCUGUCUCAA